rnacentral:lncRNA from 1 species
GGCUGCUUUGGCUUUGAGGGCAGAAGCGUGGUGCAGCUGACCGGAUGAAGCUGCAUUUCCUGCACUGACUUGGACAAGUUCACGAAACCGCUGUGUCGUGAAGAGAACAGAUCUUCUUCUUGCUGAGCCAGGACACAGAGCCUUCAGGAGUAAGGAGGGAGGCUCAGCCACCCUCCCCACACUGCGGAGCUGGGGCCCUGGAGCCAGGCCACCCCCAAUUCCUGAGUCACCCCAACCCUGUCAGGCAGAGAGCUCUGCAGUCACAGGUCACUGUGAGGCAUCCACGUUGGCCGGAAGGUGGGCAGGUUUUACAGGACACCCCACCACCUCCGACAAGGGGCUGGGCGUGGCUCCCUGAGCUGUCAGCACACACGCGCACGCGCACACACACACACACGCGCGC